AAAUGUGGCUGUAAUUUACUCAUGGUCAUCUGCAGAAUCAUCAAUGUGCCACGCUCGUAUACAGCAUAUUUCACCUCUACCUUUUACUUUACCAGAACUAAAAAAAUAUUUGGAUUCAAAUAUUAACAAUUCAUAAUAUCAGUAUAGCAAUCAGUCAUUUUACCAGAAAAGGAUUGUGGAUAGUGAUGAUAAAUUUAAUAUCAUGUUAGCUUGUAAUGACAUCAUAAACGCUAUAGCUCACAACGUGAGGGUGGUACUCUGUUACAUGCAGAUAGAACAUUGUGCCAUCUUAUCUGCAUUAUAGGCAUCUAUUAACUAUGCGACUAAUUUCACAAAAUCACUGAGACAAUCCCUGUUGGCUUUGUAUUGAUGGAAGCUAAAAUUGAGGCUUUGUUCUAAAAGGUGUUCGUUCCUCAAUCAAACUUUUAAGGAAACGAGUAUUGAUUGAAAAGGGGAUAAGUGGAAAAAAAGAAAGGUACACUUUUGUUGGGAAACAUGGUACGUCCUUCAAAAAUCGAAUUAUGAAGUAUAUGACGAACAUAGUUAUCAUCAUAUCCAAAACGAUAACACAGAAUAGUCAAUCGCCGAGCUUGUAGUUUAAAAGUAAUAUAAUAAUGUUGAUCAUGUCAUUAUUAUUGUGCCCUCGCAAACAUUCGGUAUUAUUGUUUUGGCGCUUUUAUUAUUGUAUCCACCCUAACCGGAUAUUAUGACGCCAGAGCACUUAAAGCUAUUCUUGCCACUCCAAAAAAUCAGUUUCAUAAUAUUAUAUUAAACACUGCAGAACUACAAUUUGUACUAUAUUAUAUUUCAAAGCCAAAUAACAGACCAACCCAUUUUGCCUUUUAGAUGGCAGAAAUUUUUAUUUUUAUUUUUUGAACUAAGUUUGCCGAAUAAAGUAUCAUAUUUAAAUAAUUAUAUUAUAGUAGGGUACCUACAUUUAACGAAUAAUGAUAACUAUAGUUUGAAAAAAUAUAUGUGUUAAUAAUGCAACAAUUAUGAUUGGCUUAAUGUAUUUGUGUGAGAAACUAUUCCGGCAUUACAUAU